UAACAGUUCUCCAAGCAAAAAUGGAGGAAAUCCGGAAACGCUACCGGUUGCUGAAAGCUGAGUUGGCUGCCAUUGACCGGACAAAGCGUUUAAAGAAAAAAAAAGAGCUGGAAAGGGAUGCUGCCACAUCAAGUUCUUCACCAAAUGGAAUGUCAGGGGAAUGCAGCAGAAAGCAAAAGUGUGGCCCAGCAUUAAUGCAGCACCUGUCAAAACAAAGCUGAAUUUUGUUUCCUGUUCAUUAUGGUAGUUCGAAAAUAUCAAGGCAAGCUCCUGAAAAUAUUUGCUGACUCCUUGUAUCAGCUGCCUCGAGGUCAGAUUCAUUGGAAUUGAAACUGGAAUAAAUAUUCUA